rnacentral:rRNA from 1 species
GACGAACGCUGGCGGCGUGCUUAACACAUGCAAGUCGAACGAUGAAGCUAGAGCUUGCUCUGGUGAAUUAGUGGCGAACGGGUGAGUAACACGUGAGUAACCUGCCCCGAACUCUGGGAUAACUGCUGGAAACGGUAGCUAAUACUGGAUACGACCCUCGGAGGCAUCUCCUGGGGGUGGAAAGAAUUUCGGUCAAGGAUGGACUCGCGGCCUAUCAGCUAGUUGGUGAGGUAAAGGCUCACCAAGGCGACGACGGGUAGCCGGCCUGAGAGGGUGACCGGCCACACUGGGACUGAGACACGGCCCAGACUCCUACGGGAGGCAGCAGUGGGGAAUAUUGCACAAUGGGCGCAAGCCUGAUGCAGCAACGCCGCGUGAGGGAUGACGGCCUUCGGGUUGUAAACCUCUUUUAGCAGGGAAGAAGCGAAAGUGACGGUACCUGCAGAAAAAGCACCGGCUAACUACGUGCCAGCAGCCGCCGUAA